GACGAACGCUGGCGGCGUGCCUAAUACAUGCAAGUAGAACGCACAGUUUAUACCGUAGCUUGCUACACCAUAGACUGUGAGUUGCGAACGGGUGAGUAACGCGUAGGUAACCUGCCUGGUAGCGGGGGAUAACUAUUGGAAACGAUAGCUAAUACCGCAUAAUAUUAAUUAUUGCACGAUAAUUAAUUGAAAGGUGCAAUUGCACCACUACCAGAUGGACCUGCGUUGUAUUAGCUAGUAGGUGAGGUAACGGCUCACCUAGGCGACGAUACAUAGCCGACCUGAGAGGGUGAUCGGCCACACUGGGACUGAGACACGGCCCAGACUCCUACGGGAGGCAGCAGUAGGGAAUCUUCGGCAAUGGACGAAAGUCUGACCGAGCAACGCCGCGUGAGUGAAGAAGGUUUUCGGAUCGUAAAGCUCUGUUGUAAGAGAAGAACGGGUGUGAGAGUGGAAAGUUCACACUGUGACGGUAUCUUACCAGAAAGGGACGGCUAACUACGUG
rnacentral:rRNA from 1 species